GAACACAGAGGUUCAUUUUAGCUCUAGGCUGUUGGCUCAACAUUUGCCUUUCACUGGAGUGUCUCUAGGCCCUGUAGACCUAGGCUGGCCCUUUGAGGCUGGCCCUUCUUUGGUUAGUCUUUUACUCUGGACUUAUUAUCUUGAAUUUGCAUGCAAGGGACUUCAGAGGAAGUUUUUUCUAGCCAAAUCCGGUAGUGCCUUGUGGCUUCACAACGAUGCUAGAACAUGAGAAUGACCUGUCUCCUCAUCACAAACUGAGACUCAGAGAGGUGAACAAUAACUGUGGCUGCAAUCCUAUGCAAACUGACUUGAACUCAACUUGCUUCUGAGGAAACAUGCAUAGGGUUGUUUCUUAAAUUCUUAAGCAAACAAGAAAAUGGCUAUAAAGAACCUUGUAUGUUAUAAUUAACAAGCGUUCAUGUAGUUAGUUGGAUUUGAAAUAGUGAUCUGUGAAAGGCCCUGUAGACCUUUGUAAAAACAUUUGCAGAUAUUCUUGAAGUUUGUAUGUUUCAUGCCAUGUAGCAUUUAAAUUGGGUAGACAUGCCCAUUUUGUGGUAUUAAUUCUGAAGCUGUCAUUUUCCAUGAUGGUUGACAUGUGGAUGCAAUGACUCAUGAACGAGUGCCUUAGAAAGCUCAUUUUGGUAGCAAAAUAUGUUUAAGUCAAGAUGAAUGAAGAACUAAUAGCAGCCAAAAUUACCACCAGCAAGGGGAAAAAGAACAAAAAGGACAGGUCAGAAGAUGUAGAAUGAAAAAAUCACAGCAGGAUCUUGUGACUGACCUACCUGAGGGCACUUAAACCCUUCCUGCAAGAAGCAAGUAGGCUAGGUUAAAUGUUCCCUACCCAGGCUCCCUAAGCAGGUGAGAAGAAAUGAUCCUGUCACUUCAGCUGGACCUGGGAACACCCUCAUUUAGGGCUUUAAGAUUGUGUAUGGGAACCUUCUGAACUUUCUCUACUGGACCUUCUACAAGCAACUUCUUCAUUGAUACCUUGCUGGAUGCAUAGGACUUUGGGGAUUAUUAUGUUAUGAAGACAUAUGAUAUAUUCU